UGGGGAAUUUUGGACAAUGGGCGAAAGCCUGAUCCAGCAAUGCCGCGUGUGUGAAGAAGGCCUUCGGGUUGUAAAGCACUUUUGUCCGGAAAGAAAUCCUUGGCUCUAAUACAGUCGGGGGAUGACGGUACCGGAAGAAUAAGCACCGGCUAACUACGUGCCAGCAGCCGCGGUAAUACGUAGGGUGCAAGCGUUAAUCGGAAUUACUGGGCGUAAAGCGUGCGCAGGCGGUUUGCUAAGACCGAUGUGAAAUCCCCCGGGGCUCAACCUGGGAACUGCAUUGGUGACUGGGCAGGCUAGAGUAUGGCAGAGGGGGGUAGAAUUCCACGUGUAGCAGUGAAAUGCGUAGAGAUGUGGAGGAAUACCGAUGGCGAAGGCAGCCCCCUGGGCCAAUACUGACGCUCAUGCACGAAAGCGUGGGGAGCAAACAGGAUUAGAUACCCUGGUAGUCCACGCCCUAAACGAUGUCAACUAGUUGUGGGGAUUCAUUUCCUUAGUAACGUAGCUAACGCGUGAAGUUG
rnacentral:rRNA from 1 species